UUUAUAGUUCUGGAGAUGAAGUUCCACAACUUUUGCUAGCCCUCCACAGUCAAAAGAUUUGUCUGCUUUUGUCAAAUCCUCUUUGCCAUCAUCAAAGGACUUAUUAAAGAAAUUCUCCUCUCAAUAGAGAGCACAAACAGCUGGCCACCAUCACCUGAGUAAUAACCCCUCAGGAGCACAAUGGACCUGGUGCACCAUGAAGAGGAAAUUUCCUAAGUGGACACAGAAAUCUUGAAGAGGAUGCUGUAUGGGCAAACAUUACUUAACUGUCUCCAUGUACCUAGCUACAACCAGGCCCCAUAAGUACAGGUGAGCAGUGCAAACCCACAGCUAAAUGUGAGGCCACAGUCUUUCCUCACAUCUGCAGUCCUGUUUGGCAGUGAAAUGCACAGGAUAGAUGAUCAAUACUAACAAAGCUAUCAACCUUGAUGAUACCGAGGCUCAUUUAUAUGGAGAUAAGUGCUGGUAAGGGAGUAGAGGAAAAAGGCAAAGUUAACCAGAAAGAUCUACACUUCAAUGAAGCAAAGUUCCAAUCUGCCUCGAAGGGAAGGAAAGGAAAUGCAAAGAUACAACAUCUAGAGAUGGAAGAAGGCUGCUAUGAAUCAAGAGUGUAGGAGUGGCGAACUGGAAGGUCUGAGUCCUUAACAAUAUGUAGCACCAUAUCAGCCCCAAACUGACAGCUUCCAGACCUGUAGAAAUGAGUCAUCUCCAGAGACAGGAAGGAGAAACAUUCUGCAUGAGGAUGUGUCCAUCUCAGGGGAAGCAUAUGAAACUGUAGAAGCAGCUCACACAACAAAGCAUUUGUUUUUGAAAUUAGACACCUUGAAAUGAAGAGGCCAAGAGGAAGCCUCUGGAAAGGCACACAAGAUGGGACCCAUACCAAGAGGAACUGAAUCCCCAGGCCCUCAGCCUUCCCUGAGCUCCAGCUGACAACUAACCUCAAAUUGCCAGCCAUGCCUAAUGGAUGAAAUGAAACUUGGUGAGCUCCCAGAGUUGGACAACCUUCAGAAUGCUGAGACAGACCAAAUGAAGGAAGAAGAAAAGUUCUCCAAAACUCAGCCCUCCCAGCACCUAUGGCAGGGUCCUGUUUUUUCAGUGAAAAGCCAUUGGACUUUGCAAACCAGUAAGUGACCUCUAUGAUGACAAAAGCUUCUGAGUUUCCAGAAUCUUUUGUUCAGCCCUCUCAUUUUUCCAGCCAAAGAAGAUGGCAUAUAAAGUAUGAAUGAUACCUGACUUUCAUCAUCUAGCAAAAUGACUUGCACAUACAAAGUAGAUUCUCAAUAAAUAUUCAUUCAUUUCUGAUUGUCUCCAAGAGAAAAAACAUGUUGUAAAACCAAUUCAAAGUGUUAAAGUUAGGUUUCUUUGUUUGGGAUUUGCUUUUAUUUAUCUGCUUAGUUUAAAUUCAUCUCAACUUCUUUUGGUUAAGAUUGGUAUCAAGAUUAAUAGCCUUAAAUCUGUUCCUCUUGUAAUUGUGUGUUUAGAAUGACAUCAAACAACAUAGUUUUCAAUGAAUGAGUCUUCACAUGUAUCUAUUAGAUGUACUAUUGCAGGUGCACUUUUUCUAAACCUGUCUGAAAUACACAAAUUUCUUAUUAGUAGGAUCUAUUUCUUAACAGGGCAGAAAUAGCAUGAAAACAUCUCUUGUAUUUAUUUUUGUUUUAUACACUAUAAUUUUAAUCUCGCCUUCUAUUAUUGUUAUGUAAAAAAGAUAAAAGCCAUUGACCUCGAUAAAACAACUUUUUUUUUUUGUAAUGCUGAAUAUAGUGUUGGAUUGUAGAUCAGAUCCUGUUGUUUGCUUCCUCAAAUAAAAAUCAUAUUCAGGAGGAAA